UUAUAAGAGACAGCAGUCGCCGCGGUAAUACGAAGGGUGCAAGCGUUACUCGGAAUUACUGGGCGUAAAGCGUGCGUAGGUGGUGGUUUAAGUCCGUUGUGAAAGCCCUGGGCUCAACCUGGGAAUUGCAGUGGAUACUGGGUCACUAGAGUGUGGUAGAGGAUAGUGGAAUUUCCGGUGUAGCAGUGAAAUGCGUAGAGAUCGGAAGGAACAUCUGUGGCGAAGGCGACUAUCUGGGCCAACACUGACACUGAGGCACGAAAGCGUGGGGAGCAAACAGGAUUAGAUACCCGGGUAGUCCCUGUCUCUUAUAC
rnacentral:rRNA from 1 species